rnacentral:lncRNA from 1 species
CACGGAUCCUUUGCUUCGCGUGCACGCCAAAUGCUAUAGGAGAGAGGAAUGAACUCUUUCUUCAGAGAAAAAAGGAGAAAAAUAUUUGAGAUCUGAUCUUAAGCCCUUGGAACAGUCCACACGCUACCACAAAGCGAGGGAGAAUGCCAAGAGGAGAGAGACUCCUAGUGCUAUGUGAUGCCCAAGAGAGAGGGGAUGCCCACACCAAGGGAUCUCCAUGCCAAGCC